rnacentral:rRNA from 1 species
AGUGAACGCUGGCGGCAGGCCUAAUACAUGCAAGUCGAACGGCAGCACAGCAGAGCUUGCUCUGUGGGUGGCGAGUGGCGGACGGGUGAGGAAUACGUGGGAAUCUGCCCAGUCGUGGGGGAUAACGUAGGGAAACUUACGCUAAUACCGCAUGCGCCCUUCGGGGGAAAGCCGGGGGACCUUCGGGCCUGGCGCGAUUGGAUGAGCCCACGUCGGAUUAGCUAGUUGGCGGGGUAAAGGCCCACCAAGGCGACGAUCCGUAGCUGGGUCUGAGAGGAUGAUCAGCCACACUGGAACUGAGACACGGUCCAGACUCCUACGGGAGGCAGCAGUAGGAAUAUUGGACAAUGGGCGCAAGCCUGAUCCAGCCAUG